rnacentral:rRNA from 1 species
GAUGAACGCUAGCGGCAGGCUUAACACAUGCAAGUCGAGGGGUAUAACACUUCGGUGUUAGAGACCGGCGCACGGGUGCGUAACGCGUAUGUAAUCUACCUUUUACAGAGGGAUAGCCCAGAGAAAUUUGGAUUAAUACCUCAUGGUAUUAUGGAUAGGCAUCUAUUUAUAAUUAAAGAUUUAUCGGUAAAAGAUGAGCAUGCGUCUCAUUAGCUAGGUGGUAUGGUAACGGCAUACCAAGGCGACGAUGGGUAGGGGUCCUGAGAGGGAGCACACCCACACGGGGAAUGAGACACGGACCAGACUCCUCCGGGAGGCAGCAGUGAGGAAUAUUGUACAAUGGGCGCAAGCCUGAUACAGCCAUGCCGCGUGCAGGAUGACUGCCAUAUGGGUUGUAAACUGAUUUUGUACAGGAAGAAACCCUUCUAAGAGUAGAAGAUUGACGGUACUGUAAGAAUAAGGAUCGGCUAACUCCGUGCCAGCAGCCGCCGUAA